GACAGAGGGUGCGAACGUUGUUCGGAAUUAUUGGGCGUAAAGAGCUCGUAGGCGGUCUGUCGCGUCUGCUGUGAAAACUCAGGGCUUAACCCUGAGCUUGCAGUGGGUACGGGCAGACUAGAGUGCGGUAGGGGAGACUGGAAUUCCUGGUGUAGCGGUGAAAUGCGCAGAUAUCAGGAGGAACACCGGUGGCGAAGGCGGGUCUCUGGGCCGUAACUGACGCUGAGGGACGAAAGCUAGGGGGGCGAAUGGG
rnacentral:rRNA from 1 species